GGCCUGGUGGCGUGUGGCGAACGGGUGAGUAAUGCAUCGGAACGUGCCCAUGUCGUGGGGGAUAACGUAGCGAAAGCUACGCUAAUACCGCAUACGCCCUGAGGGGGAAAGCGGGGGAUUCUUCGGAACCUCGCGCGAUUGGAGCGGCCGAUGUCGGAUUAGCUAGUAGGUGAGGUAAAGGCUCACCUAGGCGACGAUCCGUAGCGGGUCUGAGAGGAUGAUCCGCCACACUGGGACUGAGACACGGCCCAGACUCCUACGGGAGGCAGCAGUGGGGAAUUUUGGACAAUGGGGGCAACCCUGAUCCAGCCAUGCCGCGUGAGUGAAGAAGGCCUUCGGGUUGUAAAGCUCUUUCGGCCGGGAAGAAAUCGGCGACUCUAACAUAGUCGCUGGAUGACGGUACCGGACUAAGAAGCACCGGCUAACUACGUGCCAGCAGCCGCGGUAAUACGUAGGGUGCGAGCGUUAAUCGGAAUUACUGGGCGUAAAGCGUGCGCAGGCGGUUUUGUAAGACAGAUGUGAAAUCCCCGGGCUUAACCUGGGAACUGCGUUUGUGACUGCAAGGCUAGAGUACGGCAGAGGGGGGUGGAAUUCCACGUGUAGCAGUGAAAUGCGUAGAGAUGUGGAGGAACACCGAUGGCGAAGGCAGCCCCCUGGGCCUGUACCGACGCUCAUGCACGAAAGUGUGGGGAGCAAACAGGAUUAGAUACCCUGGUAGUCCACGCCCUAAACGAUGUCGACUAGUCGUUCGGAGCAGCAAUGCACUGAGUGACGCAGCUAACGCGUGAAGUCGACCGCCUG
rnacentral:rRNA from 1 species